CCGUAAACUAUGCCAACUAGCGAUCCGCCGGUGGAUUUUUAGCCCUGGUGGGAAGCUUCCCGGAAACGAAAGUCUUCCGGUUCCGGGGGAAGUAUGGUUGCAAAGCUGAAACUUAAAGGAAUUGACGGAAGGGCACCACCAGGAGUGGAGCCUGCGGCUUAAUUUGACUCAACACGGGGAAACUCACCCGGCCCGGACACCGUAAGGAUUGACAGAUUGAUAGCUCUUUCAUGAUUCGGUGGUUGGUGGUGCAUGGCCGUUCUUAGUUCGUGGAUCGAUUUGUCUGGUUUAUUCCGAUAACGAGCGAGACUCUAGCCUACUAAAUAGUAACGGAAUUAUCACAGUUCCGCUUGCUUCUUAGAGGGAUUUUCGGUGUUUAGCCGCACGAGAUUGAGCAAUAACAGGUCUGUGAUGCCCUUAGAUGUCCGGGGCUGCACGCGCGCUACACUGGCGAAAUCAGCGUGCUGUAUCCAUUCUCGAAAGGGAUUGGUAAACCCAUGAAAAUUUGCCGUGCUUGGGAUCGGAAAUUGCAAUUAUUUUCCGUGAACGAGGAAUUCCAAGUAAGUGCGAGUCAUCAACUCGCUCUGAUUACGUCCCUG
rnacentral:rRNA from 1 species